rnacentral:misc_RNA from 1 species
GAUGAAGAACGUAGCGAAAUGCGAUAAGUAAUGUGAAUUGCAGAAUUCAGUGAAUCAUCGAAUCUUUGAACGCACCUUGCGCCCCUUGGUUAUUCCAAAGGGCAUGCCUGUUUGAGUAUCAUGAACACCUCAACUCUUGUGGUUUCCCACAAUGAGCUUGGACUGUGGAGGUUUUGUUGGCCCUGUGGUCAGCUCCUCUCAAAUGGAUCAGCUUACCGGUGUUUGGUGGCAUUACGGGUGUGAUAUCUAUCUACGCUCGUGGUCGUCUCCAAAUAACCUCCAGUGAUGGAGGUUCGCUGGAGCUUAUAAAUGUCUCUCCCCAGUGAAGACAGCCUUUGAACGUUCGAUCUCAAAUCAGGUAGGACUACCCGCUGAACUUAAGCAUAUCAAUAAGCGGAGGA